rnacentral:rRNA from 1 species
UACGAGGGGUCCUAGCGUUGUUCGGAAUCAUUGGGCGUAAAGGGUGUGUAGGUGGCUAUGUAAGUCAGGUGUGAAAGCCCCGGGCUCAACCCGGGAAGUGCAUCUGAUACUGCGUAGCUUGAGUACCGAAGAGGAUAGUGGAAUUCCAGGUGUAGUGGUGAAAUGCGCAGAUAUCAGGAGGAACACCGGUGGCGAAGGCGGGUCUCUGGGCAACUACUGACGCUGAGGAGCGAAAGCGUGGGGAGCGAACAGG